rnacentral:rRNA from 1 species
CCUACGGGAGGCAGCAGUCGAGAAUCAUUCACAAUGGGGGAAACCCUGAUGGUGCGACGCCGCGUGGGGGAAUGAAGGUCUUCGGAUUGUAAACCCCUGUCAUGUGGGAGCAAAUUAAAAAGAUAGUACCACAAGAGGAAGAGACGGCUAACUCUGUGCCAGCAGCCGCGGUAAUACAGAGGUCUCAAGCGUUGUUCGGAAUCACUGGGCGUAACGCGUGCGUAGGCUGUUUCGUAAGUCGUGUGUGAAAGGCGCGGGCUCAACCCGCGGACGGCACAUGAUACUGCGAGACUAGAGUAAUGGAGGGGGAACCGGAAUUCUCGGUGUAGCAGUGAAAUGCGUAGAUAUCGAGAGGGACACUCGUGGCGAAGGCGGGUUCCUGGACAUUAACUGACGCUGAGGCACGAAGGCCAGGGGAGCGAAAGGGAUUAGAUACCCCAGUAGUC